UGCUGUUUCGCUGACGAGUGGCGGACGGGUGAGUAAUGUCUGGGAAACUGCCCGAUGGAGGGGGAUAACUACUGGAAACGGUAGCUAAUACCGCAUAACGUCGCAAGACCAAAGAGGGGGACCUUCGGGCCUCUUGCCAUCGGAUGUGCCCAGAUGGGAUUAGCUUGUUGGUGAGGUAACGGCUCACCAAGGCGACGAUCCCUAGCUGGUCUGAGAGGAUGACCAGCCACACUGGAACUGAGACACGGUCCAGACUCCUACGGGAGGCAGCAGUGGGGAAUAUUGCACAAUGGGCGCAAGCCUGAUGCAGCCAUGC
rnacentral:rRNA from 1 species